UUGCGGAAACAUGUUCUUUGUUCCUUCAUUUGAAUCCUUCCUCCAUGUUUGCAGCUUUGGUGGGUUGACUGUUUUCUGGAGUGGCACAGCUUUGAGUGGCUUGGACUAGUAAAUAAUGUUCCUUUCCUCUUCAUGUGUCACCCUAAUGCCCUAACAGCUAUGACCUUGAUCUUCUUUACAUCAUCAGCCCAUGAUGCUAAUUGGAUACAGUAUGGCAGCCAUCACAUCCCACUGCUUUGUGAGAAGAAAGUAAGAAGGAAAAUUCUUUGACUUGAUUCAUACCUUUGGCAGCUGAGAGGUCCCACAUGGGUAUGAGCAACGGCAAUCCCCUUGGGAUAGGGGAUCAAAGCCCACACGGAGGUUCGCUCCCUAGUUUUGGGGCAUCCACAGCUCUGCCUGUUGUUCUGAGAUGGAGGGGGCCCAACUUUGUGGACAGCCGACAAAGACAUCUGAAAAAAGCUACAAGCACGUGGCUCGGCCAGGGAAAGACAUGAAUCCUGAGUGCUGGGAUGACAGACAUGUAACCAUCACCUCUCGUUUGCGUACUGCUGGGUAUUGAACCCAGUGUCUCACAGAGCUCUACCCGCCUGGAUUAAAGAGCAAUAACCACCACCACCACCACCACCACCUAGCCU